rnacentral:lncRNA from 1 species
GGCAGGGACCACGGGGAGCAGCUGGUCCAGCCGCCGGUUUUCCAAGAGAGAAGACUAAGAAGUUCCCAAGGUUACCACCCAACCCUGCCAACUUUCGCACCCCGCGAGGAGCAAGACCCCGCCUGCUCACCAUCUGCCUGUGCAGCCAACGGGCCUCGCUGAGCUGCCCUGGGCCGCUCCCUCCAUUGACACAGUUGGCCCUUCCUCUCCCUGCCUCCCUUCACCUACCCCACGAACUACUUCAUCCUUUUGGGCCGGCACUGUAGAAGCCCCAUUGUUCACAUUGACCUCCCAAUUAUCUCCUCUUUCCCUCUCCCUCUGCUCCUGCCCCAGACCAGCCCCCCAGCAUUGACCUGGAUGCCUGCCGCAGCCUCCUCCCUGGUCUCGGGCCUCCCACCUCUGCUCCUCGGUCUCCUCUACCCAGCCAGUAACUGCAGAGAGCACUAAAGCACAGUCCUGGCAUCUCACUCCCUUAACCCUGGCCACGGCUUCCCAGUGCCUCCAAGAUAAAGCACCAACACCUGAGGACAGCAGGUGAGUCCUCCCGGAGCUAGCUCUCCCCCACCCUCCUGUCACCCUCUGCUCCAGGCUCUGCC